rfam:Populus trichocarpa scaffold_1_contig_14, whole genome shotgun sequence.
UCUCUGUGAUGAUGAAACCAGAUGACGAGUCCGAUUUAUAUCCAUUCCAUUCUCCUUGACGACAAUACGAGGCAUUUGUCUGAGAGAA